GAGUACAUUAUGCUCCUCAAGAUAAUGAAUGGAGAAAAAUGUCCAAUGAUUGCUAGCCAUUCCGAUAAUGUAUUUACUCUAUGUUGUGUUAUUUUGUUUUUGCAGUAGGACACAAGUGAUUAGAAAGGAUAUCACAUAGUCAGUGACCAGCUGAGACUGAGUACGGACAGGGGAAGAAGCUAACUUAGACCUAAAGGGACCUGGGAUCAGGAGACAUUUCUAGAUAAGCCCCUCAGCCAGAUAACAUCAACCCAUGACUUCCAAUACCAAUGCUGAAGAGGCCACAGAGGAGAGAGAAUCUUAAAACAUUUUUAAUAUCUGAAAGUUCUUGUAUUUCAAGAAGUGGAAAGUUUCUUGAUAUGUGUAUGAAGGUCAAGAUUGAGAUAGUGAUACUGAGGGUGGGAUGAUACCACACUGAGGCUGGGAGUUUUAUUUCUUUCAAAUCUUUCUGUAGGUAUAUCUCUGUGGAUUCCUACCACUUCUAAACCAUAGUUACAAGGCCAAUAAAUACAUAGAACAAUGUUCCUACUGCUCGUGAGCAUGAUGCUCUUCCUAAUAGCUCUAUCGGAACCCUUUAUUGCUCAUGACCUUGUGUUCAUAUCAUGCUAUCUGAUUAUUCAUCAUUUUUCCUGGAUCUGCUUGAUAUGAAAUGUGGAUACAGCUAUGUUUGAAGAAACAUGUUAUAGGAAAAGAAACUCCGACCUCAGAAUCUGAGGAUUUGUAUAAUUUGGCCUUUACACAAAAGAAUUAUGUAAUCUGGGGCAAGUCCCUUAAUACAGUAUUUGAACUUAAUUUUAUUGCCCUUUCUAGGUCUAAACUCUCAGCUGUGAGUACUAAUUUGUGGCAUGAUGGUGAGGUGAAAUGACAGAGGCUCAUGGCACGUCAUUGCAGAAUAUCCACUAGAAUUUCACAAGUCACCAGUCAUGGAUUUCAGGAUCUGACUGCUUGUCAUCUUGGGAGACAUCAGGAUCUGACUGCUUGUCUUCAUGGGAGACUUCAGGUUCUGAGUUCCUGAAUGUAUCCUCCGUCUACAGGAGAGAGGGGGCUCUGGUCCUGACUUGGCUUCCUCCUGUCUUUGCUGAUGGAAGCUGGGUUUUGAUGAGAAACUUCUCCUGGCAUGCUAAGGUCUACUCACAGCAAAUGUAAAGUCUUAGAGGUCGAAGGCCUUGAUAACUGCCUUUCCUGACCUUGCACUGUUUCUAGUGAGUUUAAUUUAAUACAAAGCAAAACAAGUUUGAUGAUAGCCUCUGGCUGACUGCUGGAACCCACCACGCACAGGAAUUCAUGACUGAGUGACAGCAGGAGCACUUCCCUCAUCACACAUGAUGCGCAGGCCACCCAGCGAGGCACUUCAUCUCCAGGUUGACAGUUCCUGGCUGACUCGGGUCUGCCACCUGGAAGAGCGUCUGUAAUUCUGUAUUGUGGAACAGAAAACAAUGUGCAGAAUACAUUCUUUAAAACAGAAGUACAAAGUACUUGGAGGCACCUUUAUCAUAUUCCACAUCCUCAACUUUAUUUGCUUUUUUCUUCUCUUCCAUAGAUCUUCCUAUUUCUGCAUCAUGAUGAGAGUGUUUUAAUUUUUAUAACUGAAGAGUACACUUUAGUAUCUCAUUUUAAAUGAUGGUGUUCCAUACUUUUACUUCUUCUUCCAAAAAACAAUUACAGAAAUUUCUUCAAGUUCUAAGAAAAAUACUGUCUUUCCUUUUCCCAGUAUGUUCUCUAUACCCAUAGGUAUCCUUCAAAUACUGCCUAAGACAUUCCCUAUUGAGAAGGCCCCAGCCAGCUAGCUGUUCCCAGUGCUCCUGCCUCCACGCUCACGGACUGUGGGUCCCGGCAGAAUGUGGCUCCAUGGACAGAGGGUCUCUGCUUCAUACCCCGCUGCACCCCCAGGGCCAGAGAGGUGCUUGCAUGGAGGAGCUAUUCAAUACGUUUAGUUGAAUGAACAAGCAAAUGAAUGAACAAAAUAUUGUUUAAAGUAUCCAUGUUACACCAAAAAUAUAAUGCAAUUUUCUGAUGUCUUAAAUCAAAUUCUCCAGUGGCAAUAAACAUAACAAAAAC
ensembl:lncRNA novel transcript, antisense to TCP10L2